GCUGAUGUAUAUGAUGACCAAACUUUUUUCCCCAUCAGAGCGAUACUGUUGAUCUUUUUGCUGCUUUAGCCAGAUCUUGUCUGAUACAUCAGC
ensembl:snoRNA